rnacentral:rRNA from 1 species
GAUGAACGCUGGCGGCGUGCCUAAUACAUGCAAGUCGAGCGAACAGACGAGGAGCUUGCUCCUCUGACGUUAGCGGCGGACGGGUGAGUAACACGUGGAUAACCUACCUAUAAGACUGGGAUAACUUUGGGAAACCGGAGCUAAUACCGGAUAAUAUAUUGAACCGCAUGGUUCAAUAGUGAAAGACGGUUUUGCUGUCACUUAUAGAUGGAUCCGCGCCGCAUUAGCUAGUUGGUAAGGUAACGGCUUACCAAGGCAACGAUGCGUAGCCGACCUGAGAGGGUGAUCGGCCACACUGGAACUGAGACACGGUCCAGACUCCUACGGGAGGCAGCAGUAGGGAAUCUUCCGCAAUGGGCGAAAGCUUGACGGAGCAACGCCGCGUGAGUGAUGAAGGCCUUCGGAUCGUAAAACUCUGUUAUUAGGGAAGAACAAAUGUGUAAGUAACUAUGCACGUCUUGACGGUACCUAAUCAGAAAGCCACGGCUAACUACGUG